rnacentral:lncRNA from 12 species
GGGAAGGUGAGUUUUGCACUGUUUGAUUUUGACUUUUAACUUGAUUACUGAAAAGUACUCAGGAGAAAAUUUAUCUCUCUGUCUUUCUUCCUUCAGGGCAGAAAAGGUUCAAAGUGAACAUGUGAGGUCUCCAAUGGCUCCUCAAGCAAAGUUAUAAGAAAAUGAGCUUUCCUGGUAGCUUAAAGAACAUCAGCCCAAAGCCUGGAUUCUCCAGCAGCCUCAUUAGCCCUUGGAGCAGACUCUGCUGACGUUGAGGUCCAUACCCACACCGCCUCUACUGCCAGAGCACUCAGUGUAAAAAGACAUUAAAAGAGCCAGAGAGCAGCAAAAUUUUAAACAUGUCAGUGUCCCUUUGUUAGCUACAUUGCUGAGCCAUAUUACCCACAACAUGAAAGAUUUCUGUAUUUAACAGGACAGGUGUGUAGUUUAAAAGAUCACUUGACAGUUACCUUUGAAAAAUGUUCUAGCAGCUCAGGUCACCUAAUUUGUUCUCCUAGUCGAAGGUAAGAGUUAGCACAAAUCUCUAAUUUCCCUGCUCUGAUGUUUCUUUAAGAUAACCUUACCUGUUCC